AGUCAGCCUCUCACUCUAUCCGCUGAGAGGUACCCCGCAUCUUGCUCUGGCCACCCCAGACGUUCGCGGCUUCUGGACCUGCUGUACUCCCCUUUGACCUGGACCAGGGCGGAGAACACCCCCGAAACCCACCUCACCAGCACAGCCGGCGGACCCUUCCGGAGGUGCCCGCAGAGACGAGCCAGCUUGCGCGCCCGCCAGCCCGGACCACAGCUCCCAGCACGCCCCACGGGCCCACGCCCGCCAGGACUACAAUUCCCGGCGUCCUCCGGAAGCUCAAGCGUACCCAGGCGCGGCGCCUGCUGGGAAUUAUAGUUGUCGUUGGUCAGCACAUGGGCCACGGGAUCCCAGCCCCGCCUUUGUGGGACUGAGGUGGCGCUGAGUGGGAGAGCAGCAGGGGAUGCGCGAAAGGCGGGACGUGGAGGUUCUAGAUGUUCCUGUAGAUAACCUCAAGGAGCAUGGGACCUGGGACAUGACUGCCCCCAGCAUUCCUUCUGGUGGCAGACACAGUUUGUCAGUUUGCCAGCAUCUUGCUUUCAUGAGAACAGUUUGCUGUUCGCUCAUAGAGCCUCCAGUGGUAUAUUGAGUUGGUCACGACCCUCAUUCCUUCGGCCUCCAACAUCUCCCCCUUUUUGUUUUUGCAUUAAUUGAAUAAAGGUAAUUUCAGGCUGUGCA